AGGGACCGAAGCAGUGCCUGCGUGAAACUUAAGGAGCUGAGGCAGCCUACCAGAAAACCAGAGAGGUGAACAGCCGCUCCGGGGUCAGAGCCUCAAACAUGCGCUUCUAUGAUGAGCUGCAUGCCAUUUUAGGGGGUUCAGCCCCCACUACCUCAGCUGUGUUGUUUCACUCCUUCAAUGGAGAUGAAGGCUACAUGGAAGCAGGUUUGGGAUGAGGAAGAUGAUGAUGAUGAUGAGAUUGCAGGUUGCUCACAGCAAACAAGCGGAAAAACCGGUUUUUCCAACAGCCAGGACCUGUUCUCACCCUGGACCUGGAACCAGUACCCCCGAACCCACCCAAGGCUGCCUCCCAGACCCACCAGGCGGAGAAGGGGACCUCUGCUGCAUGUGUUUUCAAGAAUCACAGGAUCUUCUCCAUCCCAGAGGCUAGUGAAGAUUAGAA